UCUAGGAGGUCACUCGUCCUGGGGCUCUGACCAGGUGGCAUCAAGGGGUGGGCAUAAGGCUGUGCCCCAGGAUGUACAGUCCCUUGCCACAACACUGGAGAGAAAGCCGGGCCUUGAGUCUGCGCCUGCACAUCCCUACAGCUUCUCAGAGUCCUGUGGACAAUGCCGGAGGAGACAAACCAUGCAGGAAACAUCU
rfam:Myotis lucifugus cont2.16700, whole genome shotgun sequence.